rnacentral:rRNA from 1 species
UACGUAGGGUGCAAGCGUUGUCCGGAAUUAUUGGGCGUAAAGGGCUCGUAGGCGGUCCAUCACGUCGGGAGUGAAAAGCUGGGGCUUAACCCUGAGCUUGCAGUGGGUACGGGCAGACUAGAGUGCGGUAGGGGAGACUGGAAUUCCUGGUGUAGCGGUGAAAUGCGCAGAUAUCAGGAAGAACACCUAUGGCGAAGGCAGCUCUCUGGGACGGUACUGACGCUGAGACGCGAAAGCGUGGGGAGCGAACAGG